rnacentral:misc_RNA from 1 species
GCAAACUUGGUCAUUUAGAGGAAGUAAAAGUCGUAACAAGGUUUCCGUAGGUGAACCUGCGGAAGGAUCAUUAUCGAAUCGUUGAAACUUGGUUGUAGCUGGCUCUCUCUCCUUCUUGAGAUUGCAUGUGCACGCCUAGUUCAAACUUUUCAUUUUAACCUCCUGUGCACUUUUGUGGACCGUGGAACGGAUAGACUUUGUCAAAGUAACAUUUGGUUUUGGGGAUCGCAGUUUGCCUUCCUCUACUAUUUGUCCACGGUUCAUGUCUUUUUUUAUUACAAACUGUUAAAUUUUAAACCCAGAAUGCUUCACAAGUUGGGACUUUAGUGACCCUUCUUAUAAAUCUUAUACAACUUUCAACAACGGAUCUCUUGGCUCUCGCAUCGAUGAAGAACGCAGC